rnacentral:rRNA from 1 species
ACGAACGCUGGCGGCGUGCUUAACACAUGCCAGUCGAACGGAAAGGCCCUGCUUUUGUGGGGUGCUCGAGUGGCGAACGGGUGAGUAACACGUGAGUAACCUGCCCUUGACUUUGGGAUAACUUCAGGAAACUGGGGCUAAUACCGGAUAGGAGCUCCUGCUGCAUGGUGGGGGUUGGAAAGUUUCGGCGGUUGGGGAUGGACUCGCGGCUUAUUAGCUUGUUGGUGGGGUAGUGGCUUACCAAGGCUUUGACGGGUAGCCGGCCUGAGAGGGUGACCGGCCACAUUGGGACUGAGAUACGGCCCAGACUCCUACGGGAGGCAGCAGUGGGGAAUAUUGCACAAUGGGCGGAAGCCUGAUGCAGCAACGCCGCGUGCGGGAUGACGGCCUUCGGGUUGUAAACCGCUUUCGCCUGUGACGAAGCGUGAGUGACGGUAAUGGGUAAAGAAGCACCGGCUAACUACGUG